ensembl:lncRNA
AACCUGUCACUGCUGCUGCCUCUUUUACCAAUGAGCAUGACAGAGAGGCUGCCCCGCUGCGAUGCACCCGUGGAGACGGCUCAGUUAGCUGGCGAUGGAGGAGCCAAUACAAGAGCCUAUUGGAUGAAACACAACUGCACUUUGUUUGAAUUGGUCCUUUGUGAGAUUCUGCAGCAUGCUUUGAAUAAAAAGCAGGUUGUAUGUAAUUUAGUUCUGAUUAUAAAGGAAACAAAUAAUGAGAUAACAGGCUUAAUGAGGAAAUUAGGAUGUCUUUGAAAGAGACAACAUCAUAAAAGAUCCAGAAUACAAAAUCUAUGGACCUUUUUAAUGCACCAUUUUAAAGUAAGGAGGCGUCACUGUCCUAACUUUAAACCUUCUGACAUUGUAACUCCAGGCUUGCAACAAGUUCUGGAGAAGAUGAUAAUUUGGUUUAAUUUCAGUGUCAAAAUGAUCUACAAUAAAAAAUGAGAUUUUGUUGUAAUCCCC